UAGAGUUUGAUCAUGGCUCAGAUUGAACGCUGGCGGCAGGCCUAACACAUGCAAGUCGAGCGGAUGAGAGGAGCUUGCUCCUCGAUUCAGCGGCGGACGGGUGAGUAAUGCCUAGGAAUCUGCCUAGUAGUGGGGGACAACGUUUCGAAAGGAACGCUAAUACCGCAUACGUCCUACGGGAGAAAGUGGGGGAUCUUCGGACCUCACGCUAUUAGAUGAGCCUAGGUCGGAUUAGCUAGUUGGUAGGGUAAAGGCCUACCAAGGCGACGAUCCGUAACUGGUCUGAGAGGAUGAUCAGUCACACUGGAACUGAGACACGGUCCAGACUCCUACGGGAGGCAGCAGUGGGGAAUAUUGGACAAUGGGCGAAAGCCUGAUCCAGCCAUGCCGCGUGUGUGAAGAAGGCCCUCGGGUCGUAAAGCACUUUAAGUUGGGAGGAAGGGCUUACAGCGAAUACCUGUGAGUUUUGACGUUACCGACAGAAUAAGCACCGGCUAACUUCGUGCCAGCAGCCGCGGUAAUACGAAGGGUGCAAGCGUUAAUCGGAAUUACUGGGCGUAAAGCGCGCGUAGGUGGCUUGAUAAGUUGGAUGUGAAAUCCCCGGGCUCAACCUGGGAACUGCAUCCAAAACUGUCUGGCUAGAGUGCGGUAGAGGGUAGUGGAAUUUCCAGUGUAGCGGUGAAAUGCGUAGAUAUUGGAAGGAACACCAGUGGCGAAGGCGACUACCUGGACUGACACUGACACUGAGGUGCGAAAGCGUGGGGAGCAAACAGGAUUAGAUACCCUGGUAGUCCACGCCGUAAACGAUGUCAACUAGCCGUUGGGAUCCUUGAGAUCUUAGUGGCGCAGCUAACGCAUUAAGUUGACCGCCU
rnacentral:rRNA from 1 species